GUCUAAAAGACGACAUACGUCAGGGCAUUUAUCUAAAUUGUCACAUUUCCGAUACUUCCUCUGCGCUUGGUAUAAUAAAUAAUAAUUAAACUACUCAGAAGUUGUUACUGUUCUGUGGGCAGAGAGGUGGGGAAGGAGCAAGGCGUGCUGGCUUUUCAAGUCUUGCCUCCGUGGCCACUGGCCACUCCUUGGUGGCGCCCCGUGGGUUGGGAAAGAGCAGAUAGGCGGGAGGAGUCAGUCAGGGUGGAGGAGAGGAGACCCCUUCACUGUCUGACACUGGCUGUAACCGCGCUGGGAGGAGAAUACCGGCUUUGUGGGAGGGUUCCUAUCAUUGUUCCGUGUGUGAGGGGGCUGUCGGUGAAGCAGCACAUGUGUCCAUGUAAACAGUACCGAAGGUGGAGUCCAUCCUCAGGCGGAACACUGACCCUCUUAUCAAACAAAUUGACACACACACUUGUGGGCCUUUGUCGUAGCUAUAUAAUCCAAAAGGAGAGAAGAGAUUUGGUCCACACGAGCUUGAAUUUGAAUAGUUUACACAUGCUGCAUGCUAGCCUGAAAGUGUGAAUGAUUCUACCAAUAGAUUGUAUAUACAACUAAACAAAGCUUCUGUGAGGACGAGACCACAGUAGUCAGUAGGAUGUGCUGCAAACUGAUAAACGUCUGUUUCAGAUGCAACGUUCAAUCACUUCCGUACAUUCUCACCACCCGCUCCCCUGCGACGUUCCACGCGCGUUUAGAUACAGAGCUGAUACGGCUUCAGAGGAAAAUUAGACCAAACUCACAAUGGUGUGUCAGUCACUGAAGAAACCACAUGACGAGUGCAUGUUGUUAGACGUUUUGUCGAAGACAGCAGCUGAAGUUACGCUCUUUGCUCUGGCACUGCAACCACAGGAAACCAAAGAAAUGGCGCCAGAGGCAAAAGUGUGAUCUGAACCUGAAGACACAACAUGCCACCCUGCUGUCUCUGAACCGAGUUUUGACCAUGGACAGCUCGUCCUCCACAGUGAGACGGAGGGCAUGGAUAAACAGCAGCCGUCAGUGGCCCACGUUGGAGGAGUCCGAAGAGCCGUUGUGUCAGCUUCCCUCUGCCUCCAUAGCAGAUGAUGAUGUGUUUUCCGAUGGAAACCUAACAGGAAAGAUUGAGAACUGGCUGCUCGGUUGUGGGUCAGAAGCCACUUCGCGGAAACCCGGUCAUUUGAGUUUGGAAUUAUCGCCUCAAACCAGCAACUGCGAUGAUGACAUCAGUCUUGGGGCUGAUGCUGCUGUGUGUAAUGAUGGAGAAACACCGAGCAAAGCAGGAAGCUGUGCUUUGCUUUCUUGCCUCAAGCAACGACACACAAAAAGUAGCAGCUCUCAUUCAGGACCAUAUCUCCAGUCCUUGAAUCUGAAUCUCAGCAUGGCCUCCUCCUGCAACUCCUCCUCCACCCUGAAGACUACAUCAAGUGUUUCAGAGGUCCUGCAGAUGUGCGCGGAAGAUGCUGAAAAUACUUUGUAUGAGCUGGGCUUUGGCUUCGAUGAGCCGCAGGUUCCUGUGCGCAUCCCAGCUCGUUUCUUCACCUUCCCUUCUCAGGCUGAAGGCAUCAACUUCCGCCUCUUCCUGGACUCUCAGCUGAGGCGGAUACGGGAGGAGGACCCCAGACUCUCUCUUGCUAGUCGUUUCAGGCAAGUCCAAGUUCUCACAGAAACGGCCAACGCCUUUUACGGCCUCUACUCCCACGUGUCCCGCACGCCCCUCCAGAGACUGGAAACUCCAGAGUUUACCUUCUCGUCUACGCUGGAGAAGUUAGAAUGCUAUAGGCACCACAUUCGCAGCGAACCUCGUUCUCCGGUAGAGCGGCUGAAGGACACCGUCUCCAAAAUGUGUCUCUACACAGGCUCUCCCCGAGGAUCGGACUCCACCUCACCGCAGACCUCACCCAAGAAAAGGCCUAGCCUCCCUGACAUUCCAGAAACAGUGCUGGAGAAACCUGCUAGCGGACGUGCUAAGAAACUGAAUCUCGAGGAUCAUAUCGAUGGUAACGCAGGUGUGGUCGCAAACGAUGCUAAAUUUCCCGGCAGGGCGGAAGAAGAGGUGGACACGCACACUCUUCAGCAGGGACCCAAGGAGUUAAACAGCAACGGACUCGGUGUUGGAGAGGAAAUAAACAUCCGACUGACCGAUGCUCACAACGCAAAAACAUCUGAAGACUCGUCAUGGGUGUCAGUAGAAACUGUGAUACAAACAGAUCAGUGCGUGUUCUCCCCUCAGUCACAGCAGCAGGAGUGUCACGCAGAGGGAGCCGAGAUAAAACCCGUUUCCUUGGUUGCAUACGAUCGAAUCUGCUCGCAGAUCGCCGAAAGCGUACGCCAGGUUCCGUUCUGUUCUCAACGAAACGCUGCGUCGUGUGCCAGAGCUAAAGAAACCUGGGUACAAGUCCCUCUCUGUGAGCCUGAGGACGACACAUGCACUGUCACCUCUUCCCUCCCGGUCCUGGCUCUGAAUGGAAGCCUCACUAAUUACGGCAGCUCAGUGAACAGCUGGGAGGAAGAGAAUUCUUCUCCUCUUAUCUCGAACACGCCAGAUUCCACACAUACCCCAAGCUUCCCACCAGUCCAGACCUGUGAGGAGUCAAUUGACAAGGGGAAGACCUGGUGCCUGAAUCCUCCUCCACCUCAGGGCCUAGGGCUCAUCUGCAGCAGCCUGCAACAGGUCAACUCUUUUGAGCUGGAGGAGGUGCACAGUACGGAGGAAGAGGAUUUGGAUCAGUCAAACACUACAAAAGCAACAACUUCACUUUUAACCUCAACUCCUCAGCCUAAAGUGGAGGUGAUCCGGGGGGACAGCGUGCAGUCGGACAGCAGCGGUUACGCCGAUGAGGACGGCAGCUUGCUGUCAGACAGGAGUGGAAGAUGACAAACAACAAAGUACUGUGUGUACAGUUGUAAAUGUGAUUUCCAGAUUCGUCACCGUAGCUCUGGCUUAUUCACGCAUAAUCACGAUUCAUUAGUGAAUAAAUGUAUCAAGAUUAAUCAUGAUUAAUCCAUAAACCCAAAUCGAAAUACUCUCGAGCGCCCAGGAAUAUUUAUUUAUUUAUUUAUCUGUACAAAUUCUUCUCCCACUAGGUUGAACAGGAAGCCUGCUCUGCUGCCAUCUAGUGACCGGAGGCUUGUUUAUUGCUCAAGCAUGAAUAGAGACAGUAUAUUGAAAGCUCCCUCUCCCCCAUCUUCAACGUCAUGAGACAUGCUUUGGUGAAACGAAAACUUUUUUCCCCGCAAUGUGCGCAAAUGACGUGUAUUGACUGUGCAUUAGAGCAAUGAUAAGUGGAUGGACAGCAGAGUAAUUGAAUAUACCGUGUGCCUAAUCUGGCCAUGCUUAUAAUUUUAAUUUCACAAAAUUAUAAAUGCAAUCCUCAGUCAGGUUCAUUUUGUAGCCCUAGGUCCAAUAAAAUAUUUUUAAAAAUUUGUAAA